UACGGGGGGAGCAAGCGUUGUUCGGAAUUACUGGGCGUAAAGCGCACGUAGGCGGCUUUGUAAGUUAGAGGUGAAAGCCCGGGGCUCAACUCCGGAAUUGCCUUUAAAACUGCAUCGCUAGAAUUGUGGAGAGGUAAGUGGAAUUCCGAGUGUAGAGGUGAAAUUCGUAGAUAUUCGGAAGAACACCAGUGGCGAAGGCGACUUACUGGACACAUAUUGACGCUGAGGUGCGAAAGCGUGGGGAGCAAACAGG
rnacentral:rRNA from 1 species